rnacentral:rRNA from 1 species
GAGUUUUGAUCAUGGCUCAGGAUGAACGCUAGCUACAGGCUUAACACAUGCAAGUCGAGGGGAAACGACAUCGAAAGCUUGCUUUUGAUGGUCGUCGACCGGCGCACGGGGUGAGUAACGCGUAUCCAACCUGCCCAUCACUUGGGGAUAACCUUGCGAAAGUAAGACUAAUACCCAAUGAUAUCUCUAGAAGACAUCUGAAAGAGAUUAAAGAUUUAUCGGUGAUGGAUGGGGAUGCGUCUGAUUAGCUUGUUGGCGGGGUAACGGCCCACCAAGGCAACGAUCAGUAGGGGUUCUGAGAGGAACGGUCCCCCACAUUGGAACUGAGACACGGUACCAACUCCUACGGGAGGCAGCA